rnacentral:rRNA from 1 species
AUUGAACGCUGGCGGAAUGCUUUACACAUGCAAGUCGAGCGGCAGCGCGGGGCAACCUGGCGGCGAGCGGCGAACGGGUGAGUAACACAUCGGAACGUACCCAGUUGUGGGGGAUAGCCCGGCGAAAGCCGGAUUAAUACCGCAUACGACCUGAGGGUGAAAGCGGGGGACCGAAAGGCCUCGCGCAAUUGGAGCGGCCGAUGGCGGAUUAGCUAGUUGGCGGGGUAAAGGCCCACCAAGGCGACGAUCCGUAGCUGGUCUGAGAGGACGACCAGCCACACUGGAACUGAGACACGGUCCAGACUCCUACGGGAGGCAGCAGUGGGGAAUUUUGGACAAUGGGCGCAAGCCUGAUCCAGCCAUUCCGCGUGAGUGAAGUAGGCCUUCGGGUUGUAAAGCUCUUUCGGUCGGGAAGAAAUCGUAUGGGCUAAUACCCUGUGCGGAUGACGGUACCGGCAUAAGAAGCACCGGCUAACUACGUGCCAGCAGCCGCCGUAAUAC